rfam:Camelus ferus unplaced genomic scaffold scaffold1390, whole genome shotgun sequence.
GGAGGGUACAGCUCAGUGGUAGAGAGCAUGCUUAGCAAGCACGAGGUCCUGGGUUCAAUCCCCAGCACCUCCA